rnacentral:tRNA from 2 species
GCCGCGAUAACUCAGCUGGGAGAGUGCAAGCCUGAAGAGCUUGAAGUCGCCGGUUCGAUCCCGGCUCGCGGCA